AUUCUGACAAUCUAUACACAUGAAGUCAGGAACCCGAGCGGCGGAUUUCAGAAUCAAACCGGCCGUCAAGUUUCCUUCACCUCUCUCCCCUCACACCGCCGCGAAUGGCAUCCACCGCUCCGCGCGCGAGCCUUUCGCCGCCGGCGCCUGCCUCCCAACCCCUGAGGAAGCGCGGGCGCUCGCCCCCCGCCCCAGGAAGCGCGGCGUCGUGGUGCGCGUCCGCCGAGAACGCUGCGCCCCGCGACCACCGCCGCCGCUGGGAGAGGCCCGAGCGUGCCCCUGGCCGCAUCUGGCAGCGGUUCCGCGCGCCGCAGUCUCCCUUGCCCUCCUCCAGGCUCUGGGUUUCGUCGGAGGACUCCUCAACCUCCUCCUCCCCCGGAGUGCUUGUCCUUUGUGUUUGCUAGAUGCGUGCACAGUCAUGUCAUACAACAUCUUGGCCGAUUACAAUGCGCGGAACCAUCCUGACCUUUAUUGGGAUGUCCCUUGGGAUGCGAUGAGGUGGGAUUCAAGGAGGCGUCUUAUUGUCCGUGAAAUUAGGCACUGGGACCCUGACUUCGUUUGUCUUCAGGAGGUGGAUAGGUUUCGAGACAUUGCUGCAGAAAUGAAGAACAGAGGGUAUGAAGGUAUAUUUCAGGGGCGAACUGGGGAUGCUAGAGAUGGAUGUGCCACUUUUUGGAAGUCAAAACGGUUGCGUCUGCUUGAGGAAGAUAGUAUUGACUUUAGUGAAUUCAAUCUGCGAAAUAAUGUUGCUCAAAUAUGUGUUUUCGAGCUUAAUGGAAAACAGAAAUUAGUACUCGGGAAUAUACAUGUUUUGUUUAAUCCAAAGCGGGGGGAUAUAAAACUGGGCCAGAUUCGCAUGCUACUUGAGAAGGCAAAUACACUUGCUGAAAAAUGGGAUGAAAUUCCUAUUGUGCUUGCUGGUGAUUUCAACAGCACACCUGAUAGUGCCAUCUACAAGUUCUUGUCGACAAUGAAGCUGAACAUUUCUUUGCAUGAUAGAAGGCUGUUAUCUGGACUUGAUAGCUCUGAACUUGGUCUAUACGAGCUUUGUAGUUUAUUCAAGUACCAGUGGAGCGAUGAAGAAGUGAGAAACGCGACAGGGUAUUCAAAUGUCAUGGUCGCUGAACAUCCGUUGAACCUCUGUAGUUCUUAUGCUAUGUUAAAGGGAAAUUCAAACAAUAGGGGUCUUCAUGGUGAACCCCUAGCAACUUCCUUUCACAAGAAGUUUCUCGGCACUGUUGAUUAUCUGUGGUACACUCCUGGACUUGAAUGCUCGAGAGUUUUGGACACGUUACCUAUAGGUGUUUUGAGGAGAACAAGGGGUCUUCCAACCAGGGAAAUCGGCAGUGAUCACUUGCCCCUUGUUGCUGAAUUCACCUUCACGGAAUCAGUUGACGAUGAGUCUGAGAAAGAAUAUGAGUCUGAGCAAGAUCACGAGUGUGAACAAGAAGUGAGCACAGCGCAACACAUAUAUUUCUCAGAUAGUGAUUCCGGUUGAAUUGAGUGAUUCAGUUGGUAGAAAAGGUUCAAGAUAAAUUAUUCAGGAACAGGGAGCACAGUGCAUCAGAAAAUUGCACCGCAUUUUUCAUGAUCCAGAAACAUAAGUUCUCCAGCUUUCAUACGGCUCAUUGUCUUCAGUGCACAGGGAAUUUCGGACACCUUUGUCUGUGUAGUUUCUGUUGGCGAGGCAAAUCCUCCCGCUGAGGGUGCCAAAUGGAGCAGAAUCAGGGCAUGUCAGCAAUAUAUUUUUGAACUGCAUGGCGGUAAUUCUCAAUCUGUAGCACAAUAAACGAGGUUUAUUUUGGAACUACAGGGCCGAGAAACAUGAGUACCAAGUGGACCAUGCAUCCACAUUCCUCAGUCUAGUGUUGCCAACCAAAUCAGCCCCGGGGAAUGGGAGGCCAUCGAUGGAUUUCCAAGAUAGGGAGGCAGCCAAUGGGAGCGAAGCAUCCUGCCACGUGUUUACUCAUCAUUCAGCAUGAGAGGACAGCAUGGCACGUAGCAACCAGCCAGCCAGCCAGACGAUACCAGACACGGGAACAAGUGAGCGUGCACAACAGUCGUCCCAGUUUGGGUCGAUAGCAGCAGCGCACCAGAGAGCAAAAGGAGAGGCCGAGAAGAAGUAGCCAGCGAUAAGAGUAGGGCGACAGCUAGCUGAGCCACUGCUGGCAUGGCGGCCACGGCGUACUCCGUGGCGCUCCUCGGCGGCGCACGCCUCCCCGCCGCUCCGCGCUCCGCUCUUCUCCCGCGCCGCA